rnacentral:rRNA from 1 species
CACGGGGGGAGCAAGCGUUGUUCGGAAUCACUGGGCGUAAAGGGCGUGUAGGCGGUCAAGUAAGUGGAAUGUGAAACGCCUCGGCUUACCCGAGGACCUGCAUCCCAAACUGCUUGGCUUGAGUAUGGGAGAGGAUGAGGGAAUUCCUGGUGUAGCGGUGAAAUGCGUAGAUAUCUGGAGGAACACCGGUGGCGAAGGCGGCAUCCUGGACCGACACUGACGCUGAGGAGCGAAAGCCAGGGGAGCAAACGGG